UCCUACCACCAGAGGAAAAAACAUUAUAUACCUCCAUAUUGCUGCUUUGUGGAUUACACUUAAAACUAUGAUAGAGAAAAUGAAAUCUAGCAUUUUAUAGAUACAUCAGGACCAAAAAAAGAGUCAUAGGGUCAUAACUCAAAAGCUGAGCAUGUGCCUUCCAUCCAAGUUCCUCAAUACGCCCAGUUGAAGGUCUCUAGCCAGCCAUGCCAAAAGGAGAACCUCAGACAUCCUUAUUAUACAAAUUAGAUGGAAUUUCAAAGGGUAAAGGAGUUUUGCUACUAAAA